rnacentral:rRNA from 1 species
UCGGUAAUUCCAGCUCCAAUAGCGUAUAUUACUGCUGUUGCAGUUAAAAUGUUCGUAGUCGCGGUUCACAGCGUUGCCGGGGUUGUAGACUUGUUUUACACCUUGGCUUCAGUGAUUUGGAGAGGUUCGGAAAGUCGCAGCAAUGCUUCGUUCCAACUUCUCUCUCAUAAAACUUCGAGGAAAUGGGGGGGCUCAAGCCAGGCGGUACGCUCGCGCGCUGCAUGGCCCAUUCAGCGUGGUACUUUCGGAGCAGGGGAGCACCUAGGACUAGUUUCUGGGAGCUUCGACUGCUUACCGCAAAGGAAUGGACGAAGACAUCCGUAUUGAACAGCAAGAGGUGAAAUUCUGGGAUUUGUUCAAGACGAGCAAAGGCGAAGGCAUUUGUCCAUGACUUUUUCCCUUGAUAAAGAGCGAAGGUUGGGGGAUUCAAGAUGAUCAGAUACCGUCGUAGUCCCAACGGUAAACUAUGCCAGCACUGUGUCUCGGUACUUCCAUAAUAUAGGAACUAUCGGGGCUUGUGGAGAAAUCGUUAGCGAUCGGGUUCUGGGGGAAGUAUGGUCGCAAGAUCGAAACUUAAAGGAAUUGACGGAAGGGCACCACCAGGAGUGGAGCUUGCGGCUUAAUUUGACUCAACGCGGGGAAACUUACCAGCGCCAGACAACGUUGUGAUUGACAAGCGGGAGGCUUUUCUUGAUUCGUUGGGUGGUGGUGCAUGGCCGUUCCGAGUUGGUGGAUUGAUUUGUCAGGUUGAUUCCGACGACGAACGAGAUCCAAGCUUUCUAGUUCAGGGCGCCCUAAUUUGCUGGGUUCCUCCAUGGUUAGAAGGACGGUGUUGGCUUACAACAAUGAAGGGUUGGGCGAUAACAGGUCUGUGAUGCCCUUCGAUACGCUGGGCUGCACGCGUGCUACAUUGCCAUUUGCAAAGGGGUUGGGGUCUCGUAGCCGAGAUCUUUUCCCGAAUAAGCUUUUAUUUGUGUGCCAAGUUAGGUCAGAUCCUUGCAAUUUUGGAUCUUCAAUGAGGAAUUCCUCGUAGGCGUCAGCGGAUCAUCUGUCGUCGAUUACGUCCCUGCCCUUUGUACACACCGCCCGUCGCUCCUACCGAUUGGGUUGUCCGGCAAAUGCGAAUGACGGACUGGCUACGAACUCGCGUUUACAGUUUGGUUCGAAUUUUGUGUAAGCCAUACUUCCUAGAGGAAGGAGAAGUCGUAACAAGGUUUCCGUAGGUGAACCUGCAGAAGGAUCA